CGCGGGGCGUCUGGAACUUAAAGGGGCAGCGUACCUUGGCCGUCCAGUUCCACAACAAGUCACGGACAAGUUCACUGAGAGCGUCUACGUCCUGGCCAACGAGCCAUCUGUGGCCCUGUACCGGCUGCAGGAGCAUGUGCGUCGCUCCCUCCCCGAGCUGGCCCAGCACAAGGCAGACAUGCAGCGUUGGGAGGAGCAGAGCCAGGGAGCCAUCUACACUGUGGAGUACGCCUGCAGCGCCGUGAAGAACCUGGUGGACAGCAGCGUCUACUUCCGCAGCGUGGAGGGUCUGCUCAAACAGGCCAUCAGCAUCCGGGACCAUAUGAAUGCCAGUGCCCAGGGCCACAGCCCGGAGGAACCACCCCCGCCCUCCUCAGCCUGAUCCUGGAAGAGACUCGGGGCCCCCCAGCCUCCGCCAACCCAGAGACGGGGUUUCACCAUGUUGGCUAGGCUGGUCUCAAACUCCUGAGCUCGUGAUCCUCCCACCUCAGCCUCCCAAAGUGCUGGGAUUAUAGAUGUGAGCCACCGCACCCAGCCUUGGUUCUCCCUUUCUUCAUCUGGAUAAGGAAGGCUGGACUGCACCUUCUCUACAGGCUGAGUUGGACAUUCGCAGAUCUACCCUCCCAACCUGCAUUCUGCCUCAAGCAGCAACGCCCACCCCAGGCUCAGGCCACAUGGAGAAGCCACCCCUAGUUCCAGUGGUGGAUGUGGCACCUCGGCCUGGCCAAUCAGAGCUCCCUUGUCCUAGGUUCCUAGUGAUUGGUUCAAGAUGGACACGUGACCCAAUGAGCGGCCUUUCCUGGGAGUUCUACCAGGAGCAUCAGGAAGGUUGAGCUGGGUGUAUGGGAACCAGGCCGGGGCGAGGGGUUCCAGGGGGG
rnacentral:sRNA from 1 species